GAAAAUAUAGCUGAGAUUUUUAGGUAAAGCCGUUGGCUUUUUUGAUGCCAAAGAAUUAUAGGUUCGAAUCCUAUUAUUUUCG
rnacentral:tRNA from 1 species